rnacentral:miRNA from 1 species
AUACCCGGCCGUCGCCGGCAGUCAGGAGAUGCAGUUUUAUCCAGUAAAGCGAAUGAUUAGAGGUCUUGGGGCUGAAACGAUCUCA